AUUGAACGCUGGCGGCAGGCCUAACACAUGCAAGUCGAGCGAGCGGCGGACGGGUGAGUAAUGUCUGGGAAACUGCCUGAUGGAGGGGGAUAACUACUGGAAACGGUAGCUAAUACCGCAUACCCUCAGAUGUGCCCAGAUGGGAUUAGCUAGUAGGUGGGGUAAUGGCUCACAUGGGCGACGAUCCCUAGCUGGUCUGAGAGGAUGACCAGACAAACUGGAACUGAGACACGGUCCAGACUCCACCGGGAGGAAGCAGUGGGGAAGAUUGGAAAAUGGGCGAAAGCCGGAUGCAGCAAUGCGGCGUGUGUGAAGAGGGCCUUCGGGUUGUAAAGCACUUUCAGCGGGGGGGCGUUACCCGCAGAAGAAGCACCGGCUAACUCCGUGCCAGCAGCCGCGGUAAUUC
rnacentral:rRNA from 1 species